UACGUAGGGGGCAAGCGUUGUCCGGAAUUAUUGGGCGUAAAGGGCUCGUAGGCGGUUUGUCGCGUCGGGAGUGAAAACCUCGGGCUUAACUCGGGGCUUGCUUUCGAUACGGGCAGGCUUGAGUUCGGUAGGGGAGACUGGAAUUCCUGGUGUAGCGGUGAAAUGCGCAGAUAUCAGGAGGAACACCGGUGGCGAAGGCGGGUCUCUGGGCCGAUACUGACGCUGAGGAGCGAAAGCGUGGGGAGCGAACAGG
rnacentral:rRNA from 1 species